CCUACGGGAGGCAGCAGUGGGGAAUAUUGCACAAUGGGGGAAACCCUGAUGCAGCGAAGCCGCGUGAGUGAAGAAGUCUUUCGGUAUGUAAAGCUCUAUCAGCAGGGAAGAAAAAAGACGGUACCUGACUCAGAAGCCCCGGCUAACUACGUGCCAGCAGCCGCGGUAAUACGUAGGGGGCAAGCGUUAUACGGAUUUACUGGGUGUAAAGGGAGCGUAGACGGUGCGUCAAGUCUGAAGUGAAAGCCCUGGGCUUAACCCCGGGACUGCUUUGGAAACUGGCGCGCUAGAGUGCUGGAGAGGUAAGUGGAAUUCCUAGUGUAGCGGUGAAAUGCGUAGAUAUUAGGAGGAACACCAGUGGCGAAGGCGGCUUACUGGACAGUAACUGACGUUGAGGCUCGAAAGCGUGGGGAGCAAACAGGAUUAGAUACCCGAGUAGUC
rnacentral:rRNA from 1 species